UCAUGGUCGCACCCAUUCUCGGCGACAAAAUUAUGCACAGGCCCAUUAUUAAUGUUUUACGUUUUCUUUUUUUCUUUUUUUUUUCAGAUCUCUUUCUAUAAACAAGAGAAAUAAGAACGAGAACACCAUUAACAACAUCUUUCCUUAGAUAUCUUUCUGUCUAAUUCAAUCAAAAUCCUAGAAGGCAUAACCUAAAAUUCAAUUCAAUCUUUCUUUUUUUCCCUUAAAUUUAAUAAAACUCAUUUUAGAUCUGGAAAUUAUGAUUGAGAACUUGCUGAUAUGGUUCUUAUUGAAGCAGGAGAGAGUCUCAUCAAAUCAAACAAUGGUUCAAGCUGGUGGCGUCUUGCAUUAUCCGUGGUUCGGGAUUGAAAUGAAUCAAACCGGUGGUUGGUUUUGAAGGAUUAAGAAAGGGUUGGAUGUGAAUUAGAACUUAAGUCAAGGACUGGUGGGUGUAUCUCGGAUUUGAUCUACAACAGUGAAGAGAAAUAAGUGACUGAUAGUGUUUGUAUCUCAAGGGGAUUUGUUCUUGAGAGAAAUAAGACUUGAUUGAUGAGUUUUUUCACAUGGGUUUAUAUUAAAGUAUUGUUAGGUUCUUGUACUCGAUUUGGAGAUGAUUAAUGCUCUCGAUUGCUGAAAUAGGUGUUGGCUUAAUUGUUUCUGUUCAAUUGCACAAAAUGUACAAAUUCCAUCUUUUCUGGUUGAUGGGUGUACUGCAGAUCUUAGUUUAUGCAGAGAAUAUCAUCGAAGGCAUAAGGUUUGUGAGGCUCAUUCUAAGACUCUAAUCGUUUUGAUUAAUGGUCAAGAACAAAGAUUUUGGCAACAGUGCAACAGUGUCUCAGAGUAGGAUGUUGCAAAUCCAUUAUCCAUCCUGCUAAUUGAGAUUGUUACAAGGUCAUGCACGCUGGAACCGCGAGUAUCGUUAAUUGGAUUAAUAUUUAGUUCUACAAAAUGAGCACUGUAAUUGACAUUCUUGGGAUCAUGUCCUACAUGAUUACAUGGUUUGAACUGGGAAUAAAUUAGUGGUUCUAGACUUGUAGAUAGUGGGACUAGGAGAAUCAAAGUACUUUGUAAUUUUAGUUGUCGUUUUUCGUUGGUGUUGGUGUUAUUGGUUGGGAAGCUAGGUAUGUAUUUGGUCACAUUGGUGUUGACGUUAAUGGUUGAAUAAUCUGUGAUGUAGUUAUGAAAA